CGGACGUUGGUACAGUUUUUGUUGGGGCAGACACGACCGAACAGCGCUCUCCAUAAACAGGUGGAAUUACCUCUGGGUCGGACAGGGCUAGCCAGCUGUAAUCCACCCUGCUACGGUGAUGCCCGCCUGCCUCCCGGCUUUUACGACCAAGAAUCGGAGCGCUGAUGUGAUGUUUCCCCGUCGACUGAUGAGGCAUCGGGGAAGGAAGAGAAGGCAGCCACGACACGCGAUUGUUCAACAUGACAGUGAGACAGAAAAAUAAUGUCAAGAUAAAUAAAAAAUCAUGAUGAGUGAAGUUCUUAGUCAGGUUGUGUUUUUUUCGGGUUCUUAUUUAAACGGUGUCUAGGCCAGGUCUGUGUUAUCUGUAGAAUUAAAUCUAAAUGCUGUUUGAAACGGUUACUGAUUUAGUGUUCGUUUAUUGGGAUUAUAGCAUAAUAAGAAAGUAACUUUAUGAGCACGGAUCCAAAAUGGUCCCGGCCCGGAACAUCUAUGAGUCCGGAAUGGGUCCGUAACUGAUAAAAAGUAGUGGAACCGUGACGGAUGCAAUAAGUGGACACGGAAUGAGUCCGCAUCGGAUGUCGCGCCUCCGAACCGGGCUCACUGCGGAGGUACGCUUCUGCACGCGGAUCCGUUGCGGGUGACAAACGGGUCCCUUUUGAGUCCGCACCACGCCUCCGCGUCGGAUGAUAGGCGGCGUGCAAGUGGACGCCGAUACGGCCCCGUUUACCGGAUCCGUUCCGGAGGAUGGCCUCCGGACGGUGGACUCCGGGGCGGAUCCAUUACGGUGUACUU